rnacentral:tRNA from 1 species
UUAAUUAAAGCCAAAGAGAGGCCUAUCACUGUUAAUGAUAUAAAUGAAUUUUUAAUUCUAAUUAAA